GACGAACGCUGGCGGCGUGCUUAACACAUGCAAGUCGAACGGAAAGGCCCUGCUUUUGUGGGGUGCUCGAGUGGCGAACAGGUGAGUAACACGUGAGUAACCUGCCCUUGACUUUGGGAUAACUUCAGGAAACUGGGGCUACUACCGGAUAGGAGCUCCUGCUGCAUGGUGGGGGUUGGAAAGUUUCGGCGGUUGGGGAUGGACUCGCGGCUUAUCAGCUUGUUUGUGGGGUAGUGGCUUACCAAGGCUUUGACGGGUAGCCGGCCUGAGAGGGUGACCGGCCACAUUGGGACUGAGAUACGGCCCAGACUCCUACGGGAGGCAGCAGUGGGGAAUAUUGCACAAUGGGCGGAAGCCUGAUGCAGCAACGCCGCGUGCGGGAUGACGGCCUUCGGGUUGUAAACCGCUUUCGCCAGUGACGAAGCGUGAGUGACGGUAAUGGGUAAAGAAGCACCGGCUAACUACGUGCCAGCCGCCGCAGUAAUAC
rnacentral:rRNA from 1 species